CCUACGGGUGGCAGCAGUGAGGAAUAUUGGUCAAUGGGCGGGAGCCUGAACCAGCCAAGCCGCGUGAGGGAAGAAGGUCCUGCGUAUCGUAAACCUCUUUUGUCAGGGAACAAAGGCGGGGACUAGUCCCCGCAUGAGGGUACCCGAAGAAAAAGCAUCGGCUAACUCCGUGCCAGCAGCCGCGGUAAUACGGAGGAUGCGAGCGUUAUCCGGAUUUAUUGGGUUUAAAGGGUGCGCAGGCGGCCGAGUAAGUCAGCGGUAAAAUGCCGGGGCUCAACCCCGGCCAGCCGUUGAAACUGGGGUGCUGGAGUUGGAGAGAAGUACGCGGAAUGAGCGGUGUAGCGGUGAAAUGCUUAGAUAUCGCGCAGAACCCCGAUUGCGAAGGCAGCGUACCGGCGCCACACUGACGCUGAGGCACGAAAGCGUGGGUAUCGAACAGGAUUAGAUACCCUGGUAGUC
rnacentral:rRNA from 1 species